AUUGAACGCUGGCGGCAUGCCUUACACAUGCAAGUCGAACGGUAACAGGUUAAGCUGACGAGUGGCGAUCGGGUGAGUAAUGCAUCGGAACGUGCCCGGUCGUGGGGGAUAACGCAGCGAAAGCUGCGCUAAUACCGCAUACGAUCUGAGGAUGAAAGCGGGGGACCGUAAGGCCUCGCGCGAUCGGAGCGGCCGAUGUCAGAUUAGGUAGUUGGUGGGGUAAAGGCUCACCAAGCCGACGAUCUGUAGCUGGUCUGAGAGGACGACCAGCCACACUGGGACUGAGACACGGCCCAGACUCCUACGGGAGGCAGCAGUGGGGAAUUUUGGACAAUGGGCGCAAGCCUGAUCCAGCAAUGCCGCGUGCAGGAAGAAGGCCUUCGGGUUGUAAACUGCUUUUGUACGGAGCGAAAAGGCUCUCUCUAAUACAGGGGGCUCAUGACGGUACCGUAAGAAUGAGCACCGGCUAACUACGUGCCAGCCGCCGCAGUAA
rnacentral:rRNA from 1 species